rnacentral:ncRNA from 2 species
AAAGGUGACUCGGGAGAAUCGGGAAAUCCGGUGCCGAAGGAGCAACCGCCCCGGAAACUCUCAGGCCUCAGGACCGACGUUCACCG